rnacentral:rRNA from 1 species
UGGGGAAUAUUGGACAAUGGGCGAAAGCCUGAUCCAGCAAUGCCGCGUGAGUGAUGAAGGCCUUAGGGUUGUAAAGCUCUUUUGCCCGGGAUGAUAAUGACAGUACCGGGAGAAUAAGCUUCGGCUAACUCCGUGCCAGCAGCCGCGGUAAUACGGAGGGAGCUAGCGUUGUUCGGAAUUACUGGGCGUAAAGCGCGCGUAGGCGGUUUUUUAAGUCAGAGGUGAAAGCCCAGUGCUCAACACUGGAACUGCCUUUGAAACUGGAAAACUUGAAUCUUGGAGAGGUCAGUGGAAUUCCGAGUGUAGAGGUGAAAUUCGUAGAUAUUCGGAAGAACACCAGUGGCGAAGGCGACUGACUGGACAAGUAUUGACGCUGAGGUGCGAAAGCGUGGGGAGCAAACA